GUUAGGAUGUCCGAGUGGUUAAGGAGUUUGACUUGAAUUUCUAUUUCAUGGUAUCAAAUGGGUUCGCCCGCGCAGGUUCGAAUCCUGUUUCUAACG